rnacentral:rRNA from 1 species
GCGUUAGGCGGAAUCACUGGGCUUAAAGCGUGUGUAGGCGGAUUGGUAAGUACCUUGUGAAAUCCCACGGCUCAACCGUGGAACUGCUUGGUAUACUGCUUAUCUUGGGCCACUUAGGGGUUACCGGAACAAACGGUGGAGCGGUGAAAUGCGUAGAUAUCGUUUGGAACGCCAAUGGUGAAAACAGGUAACUGGGAGUGUGCCGACGCUGAGACACGAAAGCCAGGGGAGCGAACGGG